rnacentral:tRNA from 2 species
GGCCGGCUGGCGUAAUGGUAACGCGUCCGUUUCCGGCUCCUCCUUUACCGGAUUCAUCCAUGGAACCCAUUCAGUUGUGAGUUCAGAAUUUGCGGAAGAUUUGCAGGUUCGAGUCCUGCGCCGGUCG